UACAGAGGGUGCGAGCGUUGUUCGGGAUUAUUGGGCGUAAAGCGCUUGUAGGCGGCCUGUCAAGUCGCGUGUGAAAUCCCCUGGCUUAACCAGGGAAGUGCGCGCGAAACUGAAGGGCUUGAGUGCCGGAGAGGGUCGCGGAAUUCCCGGUGUAGAGGUGAAAUUCGUAGAUAUCGGGAGGAACACCAGUGGCGAAGGCGGCGACCUGGACGGACACUGACGCUGAGACGCGAAAGCGUGGGGAGCAAACAGG
rnacentral:rRNA from 1 species